GUGCUGCUGGAGUAGUGGUGUCAUGCAAGAUUCCCAUUCUUUUGACCGGGGUUCGAUUCCCAGGCGGCGCA
rfam:Cricetulus griseus cell line CHO-K1, whole genome shotgun sequence.